UACGGAGGUGGCAAGCGUUGCUCGGAAUCACUGGGCGUAAAGGGCGCGUAGGCGGGGAGGUAAGUCGGGUGUGAAAUCCCUUGGCCCAACCGAGGAACUGCGCCCGAGACUGCUUCUCUUGAGUCCCGGAGAGGAAGGUGGAAUUCCCGGUGUAGCGGUGAAAUGUGUAGAGAUCGGGAGGAACACCGGUGGCGAAGGCGGCCUUCUGGACGGUGACUGACGCUGAGGCGCGAAAGCGUGGGGAGCAAACGGG
rnacentral:rRNA from 2 species